rnacentral:ncRNA from 1 species
AUGUAAGGACGACCUUACCUUUCCACCUUCCAACGGGGACGACCUCG